UUAAAUUCAGGGGGUCUUCCCACUUCAUCUGAGGUCUAAUUCAAAGGUUGAACAAAUUUCUUAUCGCCUGAAGAAUGACACUUUCAUUCACCUUCAAGCUUCGAAGCUUGCCCAGUUGUUUCUUUUUGCUACAUAACAUAGGGUCAGUGGAUUGGAUUCACAGUUAAGUGAAAGCAACUUGCCACGAACACACACAGUCG
rnacentral:misc_RNA from 1 species